rnacentral:rRNA from 1 species
UACGUAGGGGGCAAGCGUUGUCCGGAAUCAUUGGGCGUAAAGAGCGUGUAGGCGGCCAGAUAAGUCCGCUGUGAAAUCUCGAGGCUCAACUUCGAGCUGUCGGUGGAAACUGUCUGGCUAGAGUCCGGAAGAGGAGAAUGGAAUUCCUGGUGUAGCGGUGAAAUGCGCAGAUAUCAGGAAGAACACCCGUGGCGAAGGCGGUUCUCUGGACGACUCCUGACACUGAGGCACGAAAGCCAGGGGAGCAAACAGG